rnacentral:lncRNA from 10 species
CAAAGACUUAUAAGAAGAGGAGCCUCAAGUCCCAUUCAUGUCUGACAAAUUUUAUUUUGAGAAUCACUGCUUUAGAACUAUCCAAUAUAAAGCUAAAACCAGAUACGAUGGAAAUCACUGGCACUGAGGAGGUCAACGAACUCUGAAGCUAGGCUCUUUGAUUGGUGAUCCCCAAGUAGGAAUCAAGUUUGUCCUUGAGUGAGAAUAGAUGAGAGAAAAUGUGGAGCUCCUGACAUAGUAGCAGAGGAAAAAUGAUCACUACCACAGUGUGCUACUCUGAUGCUUCAAAAAGAUCAAGACAUAAUGCUAAAGCCUGAUCAAAAGAUCAGCAUCGUGCAAAGAUCUGUUUACGCAUCCCCAAGACUACCACCGAUUAAUGAACAGGACAUUUUUCUCAGGCUACACCG